UACGGAGGGGGCUAGCGUUGUUCGGAAUUACUGGGCGUAAAGCGCACGUAGGCGGACCAGCAAGUUGGGGGUGAAAUCCCGGGGCCCAACCCCGGAACUGCCUUCAAAACUGCGGGUCUGGAGGUCGAGAGAGGUGAGUGGAAUUCCGAGUGUAGAGGCGAAAUUCGUAGAUAUUCGGAGGAACACCAGUGGCGAAGGCGGCUCACUGGCCGUCGAGUACUGACGUG
rnacentral:rRNA from 1 species